AGUGAACGCUGGCGGCGUGCUUAACACAUGCAAGUCGAGCGAAUCUCAGCAGCGUAUCGCUGAGGUUAGCGGCAGACGGGUGAGUAAUAUUUGGGCAAUCUACCCUUUAGAGGAAAACAACCGGCCGAAAGGCUGGCUAAUGUUCCAUAAGACCACAGGAUGGCAUCAUCCAGGGGUUAAAGCUCCGCAAGGGGCGCUAGAGGAGGAGCCCGAAUCCAUCAUGGUAGUUGGUGAGGUAAUGGCCACCAAGCCUACGACGGGUAGCCGGCCUGAAAGGGUGAUCGGCCACACUGGCACUGAGACACGGGGCCAGACUCCUACGGGAGGCAGCAGUGGGGAAUUUUGGACGAAUGGGGGCAAACCCUGAAUCCAGCGACGCCGCGUGAAGGACGAAGGUCUUCGGAUUGUAAACUUCUUUUGAGGGGAUGACCGGCUAGUGAAUAACUAGCCUUGACAGUACCCUUUGAAUAAGCCACGGCUAACUACGUGCCAGCCGCCG
rnacentral:rRNA from 1 species